CCCCUUAUAUAACUGAAUGCAAUUCAACUAGUCGAACUGUGAAGUUAAGCAAUGUCGGGCCCGGUCAGUACUUGGGAGGGUGACCACCUGGGAACACCGGGUGCUGUAGGCU